UACGGGGGGGGCAAGCGUUGUUCGGAAUUACUGGGCGUAAAGGGCGCGUAGGCGGCCUUCUAAGUCGAACGUGAAAUCCCCGGGCUCAACCCGGGAACUGCGUCCGAUACUGGAAGGCUUGAAUCCGGGAGAGGGAUGCGGAAUUCCAGGUGUAGCGGUGAAAUGCGUAGAUAUCUGGAGGAACACCGGUGGCGAAGGCGGCAUCCUGGACCGGCAUUGACGCUGAGACGCGAAAGCGUGGGGAGCGAACAGG
rnacentral:rRNA from 1 species